GGGAAAAUAGUUCAAUUGGUAGAAUAACAGUCUCCAAAAUUGUUGGUUGUGGGUUCAAGUCCCUCUUUUCUCG
rfam:Aphanomyces invadans strain NJM9701 unplaced genomic scaffold supercont1.395, whole genome shotgun sequence.